ACGGGCAUAGUUUAAAGGUAGAACUAAGGUCUCCAAAACCUUCAGUGUGGGUUCGAUUCCCAUCACUCGCC
rnacentral:tRNA from 1 species